rnacentral:rRNA from 1 species
GACGAACGCUGGCGGCGUGCUUAACACAUGCAAGUCGAACGGAAAGGCCCUGCUUUUGUGGGGUGCUCGAGUGGCGAACGGGUGAGUAACACGUGAGUAACCUGCCCUUGACUUUGGGAUAACUUCAGGAAACUGGGGCUAAUACCGGAUAGGAGCUCCUGCUGCAUGGUGGGGGUUGGAAAGUUUCGGCGGUUGGGGAUGGACUCGCGGCUUAUCAGCUUGUUGGUGGGGUAGUGGCUUACCAAGGCUUUGCCGGGUAGCCGGCCUGAGCGGGUGACCGGCCACAUUGGGACUGGGAUACGGCACAGACUACUACGGGAGGCAGCAGUGGGGAAUAUUGCACAAUGGGCGGAAGCCUGAUGCAGCAACGCCGCGUGCGGGAUGACGGCCUUCGGGUUGUAUACCGCUUUCGCCUGUGACGAAGCGUGAGUGACGGUAAUGGGUAAAGAAGCACCGGCUAACUACGUG